rnacentral:lncRNA from 1 species
UCCCUGGGGCUGAAAUGGGCAGGCAAGGUGAGUGUGGGUUGGGGCGCUGUGUCACCUCAGAGGCCUGUGGGCCUGCCUUGCCCUGGGGUCCAGGCGGGCACCACGUCAUACCCAGUGACCCCUGCUUCCUCCCACAGUUCCGCUUUGGAGGUGGUGGGGAUGCGGGCGCCAAAGGCCCCAUGGUCUCCGCCCAGGAGUCGCAGGCCCAGGCCAUCCUGCAGCAGGCCAGGCUGGCGUUGCGGGGACCAGUGGGCCCGAUGGGCUUGACAGGGAGACCCGGCCCCAUGGGCCCUCCUGGCAGCGGAGGUCUGAAGGGCGAGGCGGG